rnacentral:rRNA from 1 species
CAGCCGCCGCGGUAAUACGUAGGGUGCAAGCGUUAAUCGGAAUUACUGGGCGUAAAGCGUGCGCAGGCGGUUAUGUAAGACAGAGGUGAAAUCCCCGGGCUCAACCUGGGAACUGCCUUUGUGACUGCAUAGCUAGAGUACGGUAGAGGGGGAUGGAAUUCCGCGUGUAGCAGUGAAAUGCGUAGAUAUGCGGAGGAACACCGAUGGCGAAGGCAAUCCCCUGGACCUGUACUGACGCUCAUGCACGAAAGCGUGGGGAGCAAACAGGAUUAGAUACCCUGGUAGUCCACGCCCUAAACGAUGUCAACUGGUUGUUGGGUCUUCACUGACUCAGUAACGAAGCUAACGCGUGAAGUUGACCGCCUGGGGAGUACGGCCGCAAGGUUGAAGCUUAAAGGAAUUGGCGGG